CCUACGGGGGGCAGCAGUGAGGAAUGUUGGUCAAUGGCCGGAAGGCUGCACCAGCCAAGCCGCGUGAAGGACGAAGGUGCCAAGCAUUGUAAACUUCUUUUGGCAAGGGACAAAAUCAGGCUCGAGAGCCUGACCGAGGGUACUUGAAGAAAAAGCAUCGGCUAACUCCGUGCCCGCAGCCGCGGUAAUACGGAGGAUGCGAGCGUUAUCCGGAUUUAUUGGGUUUAAAGGGUGCGUAGGCGGGCUGUUAAGUCAGCGGUAAAAGCCCGGGGCUCAACCCCGGCGAGCCGUUGAAACUGGCUGACUUGCGAUGUCACGAGGUAUGCGGAAUGCGCAGUGUAGCGGUGCAAUGCUUAGAUAUUGCGCAGAACUCCGAUUGCGAAGGCCGCAUACCGGCGGCGAUCUGACGCUGAGGCACGAAAGCGUGGGUAUCGAACAGGAUUAGAUACCCUUGUAGUA
rnacentral:rRNA from 1 species